rnacentral:rRNA from 1 species
UACGGAGGGUGCAAGCGUUAUCCGGAUUCACUGGGUUUAAAGGGUGCGUAGGAGGGCAGGUAAGUCAGUGGUGAAAUCUCCGGGCUCAACUCGGAAACUGCCGUUGAUACUAUCUGUCUUGAAUGCCGUGGAGAUGAGCGGAAUAUGUCAUGUGGCGGUGAAAUGCUUAGAUAUGACAUAGAACACCAAUUGCGAAGGCAGCUCGCUAAACGAAUAUUGACUCUGAGGCACGAAAGCGUGGGGAUCAAACAGG